AGGAGAGGCAGAAGCCUUAAGCUUGCCCAUUGUGGGCAGAGGGAUCCUCAUCCCAUCUUCACUGGAGCUGAGACUGAAGCGGGCGUCGCUGCCGUCCUUCCUCUGCGAGCUGCACACGCGCUCUACCCAUCCAGGAGCUUGUGUUUCCCUGAGUGAUGGUCUCACAAAGAAACAUUGAGCAAUCCAAAAGCAAACAACUCCCCUGGUGUCUUCCAUCUUUUUUGUUUUCCCUGAAGAAAAUGGAAGAGAUGACCAAUGAGUUCAGGCUGUCUUGGAGACCUGUUUUAAAAGUUCCCCUUGUACAAACAAGCCACCAGGACUCCAACCACUUGAAAACACUUGCAGUUGAAAACAUGCUUUUAGUGGUUUGGUGAGAGCAGAGAACUUUCACCAUCUAUUAAUAUUCUCCUACCUUUGGUUGCUAAAAGCGUCAUCCUGGCAGUGCUAUUUUCAGCACUCUGUUUGGCACGCAGCAA